rnacentral:rRNA from 1 species
GCCCCACUACAAACUUGUGGGGUGAAACCUGCUCAAUGGCUGUGAAUAAUUAAUAACAGCAGUUAAAUAGCCGCGGUAACUCUGACCGUGAUAAAGUAGCAUAAUCACUCGUCAUUUAAUUGGUGACUGGAAUGAAUGGUUAAACGAAUCUCUUACUGUCUCGAGAAGAAGUAUAGCUAAAUUGAAAUGGUAGUGAAGAUGCUACCUCAUGAUUAUAAGACGAAAAGACCCUAUUGAGCUUUACUAAAAGCUUAUAUUUGAUUUCACUCAAAUAAUUAUAUAAAGAAAAAACUGUAAGCUAGUUAGUUUGGUUGGGGCGACCACCUCUAAAACAGUAUCAGAGGAACUCUAAGGGUUUUAUAUUAAUAUAAAAAGCCUUACUGAAUAUUUAUCUAUUAAACAGUUACUAAUUUGUAGGAUAUAAUGACCCGUUAAUUAAUUUUAUUAAAUUAACGAAUAUAGAAAAAGUUACCGUAGGGAUAACAGGGUAAUAUUUUUGAAGAGUUCAUAUCGAUAAAAAUGUUUGCCACCUCGAUGUUGAAUUGUGGUAUCCUAAAGGUGCAGCAGCUUUUAAGGGUUG